GACGAACGCUGGCGGCGUGCCUAAUACAUGCAAGUCGAGCGAAGUUUUUCUGGUGCUUGCACCGGAAAAACUUAGCGGCGCACGGGUGAGUAACACGUAAAGAACCUGCCUCAUAGACUGGGACAACUAUUGGAAACGAUAGCUAAUACCGGAUAACAGCAUUAACUGCAUGGUUGAUGUGUAAAAGUUGGGUUUGCUAACACUAUUAGAUGGCUUUGCGGUGCAUUAGCUAGUUGGUGGGGUAAAGGCCUACCAAGGCGACGAUGCAUAGCCGACCUGAGAGGGUGAUCGGCCAGCCUGGGACUGAGACACGGCCCAGACUCCUACGGGAGGCAGCAGUAGGGAAUCUUCCGGAAUGGGCGAAAGCCUGACGGAGCAACGCCGCGUGAGUGAAGAAGGAUUUCGGUUCGUAAAGCUCUGUUGUUAGGGAAGAAUGAUUGUGUAGUAAUUAUACACAGUAGAGACGGUACCUAACCAGAAAGCCACGGCUAACUACGUG
rnacentral:rRNA from 1 species